rnacentral:rRNA from 1 species
GUGAGUAACGCGUGGGUAACCUACCUUGCACAGGGGGACAACAGUUGGAAACGACUGCUAAUACCGCAUAAGACCACAGUACCGCAUGGUACAGGGGUAAAAACUGAGGUGGUGCAAGAUGGACCCGCGUCUGAUUAGCUAGUUGGUGGGGUAAAGGCCUACCAAGGCGACGAUCAGUAGCCGACCUGAGAGGGUGAUCGGCCACAUUGGGACUGAGACACGGCCCAAACUCCUACGGGAGGCAGCAGUGGGGAAUAUUGGACAAUGGGGGGAACCCUGAUCCAGCGACGCCGCGUGAGUGAAGAAGUAUUUCGGUAUGUAAAGCUCUAUCAGCAGGGAAGAAAAUGACGUACCU